rnacentral:rRNA from 1 species
GAUGAACGCUAGCUACAGGCUUAACACAUGCAAGUCGAGGGGAAACGGCAUCGAAAGCUUGCUUUUGAUGGGCGUCGACCGGCGCACGGGUGAGUAACGCGUAUCCAACCUGCCCAUCACUUGGGAAUAACCUUGCGAAAGUAAGACUAAUGCCCAAUGACAUCCCACGAAGGCAUCCGAAUGGGAUUAAAGAUUUAUCGGUGAUGGAUGGGGAUGCGUCUGAUUAGCUUGUUGGCGGGGUGACGGCCCACCAAGGCAACGAUCAGUAGGGGUUCUGAGAGGAAGGUCCCCCACAGUGGAACUGAGACACGGUCCAAACUCCUACGGGAGGCAGCAGUGAGGAAUAUUGGUCAAUGGGCGAGAGCCUGAACCAGCCAAGUAGCGUGCAGGAUGACGGCCCUAUGGGUUGUAAACUGCUGUUAUAAGGGAAUAAAGUGGGUCACGUGUGACUUUUUGCAUGUACCUUAUGAAUAAGGACCGGCUAAUUCCGUG